rnacentral:rRNA from 1 species
AAUCACUUGUCUUUUAAAUAAAGCCUUGNAUUAAUGGCAUNACGAGGGGUUAACUUGUCUCUUCUUUCAAAGUCAAUGAAAUUGAUCUCCCCCGUGCAGAAGCGGGGAUAACUACAUAAGACGAGAAGACCCUGUGGAGCUUUAGACACUAAAGCAGAUUAUGUCAAACACCCCUGACUAAAGGGUUAAACUAAUUAAUCCCUGCCCUAUUGUCUUAGGUUGGGGCGACCGCGGGGAAAUGAUAACCCCCCAUGUGGAACGGGAGCACCUCUCCCACAAGUUAAGAGCCCCCGCUCUAACAAACAGAACCUCUGACCAAAUAUGAUCCGGCAAUGCCGAUCAACGGACCAAGUUACCCCAGGGAUAACAGCGCAAUCCCCUUUUAGAGCCCAUAUCGACAAGGGGGUUUACGACCUCGAUGUUGGAUCAGGACAUCCUAAUGGUGCAGCCGCUAUUAAGG